GAUGAACGCUAGCGGUGCGCCUAACACAUGCAAGUCGAGCGAGUCCGCAAGGACGAGCGGCGAACGGGUGCGUAACACGUUGGAACCUGCCCCGAACUCAGGGAUAACCCGCCGAAAGGCGGGCUAAUACCGGAUAGUCCCGAAAGGGUAAAGAUUUUUCGGUUCGGGAGGGGCCUGCGGAGUAUCAGCUAGUUGGUAGGGUAACGGCCUACCAAGGCUACGACGCUUAGCUGAUCUGAGAGGAUGAUCAGCCACAAUGGAACUGAGACACGGUCCAUACUCCUACGGGAGGCAGCAGUGAGGAAUCUUCCGCAAUGGGCGAAAGCCUGACGGAGCGACACCGCGUGGAGGACGAAGGCCUUUUGGUUGUAAACUCCUUUUCUGAGGGAAUAAAUGAUGAAGUUACCUCAGGAAUAAGCACCGGCUAACUACGUGCCAGCAGCCGCAGUAA
rnacentral:rRNA from 1 species